UACACUCCUGCGGGAGGCAGCAGUGGGGAAUAUUGGACAAUGGGCGCAAGCCUGAUCCAGCCAUGCCGCGUGAGUGAUGAAGGCCCUAGGGUUGUAAAGCUCUUUCACCGGUGAAGAUAAUGACGGUAACCGGAGAAGAAGCCCCGGCUAACUUCGUGCAAGCAGCCGCGGUAAUACGAAGGGGGCUAGCGUUGUUCGGAUUUACUGGGCGUAAAGCGCACGUAGGCGGACUAUUAAGUCAGGGGUGAAAUCCCGGGGCUCAACCCCGGAACUGCCUUUGAUACUGGUAGUCUUGAGUUCGAGAGAGGUGAGUGGAAUUCCGAGUGUAGAGGUGAAAUUCGUAGAUAUUCGGAGGAACACCAGUGGCGAAGGCGGCUCACUGGCUCGAUACUGACGCUGAGGUGCGAAAGCGUGGGGAGCAAACAGGAUUAGAAACCCCUGUAGUCCCAUG
rnacentral:rRNA from 1 species